rnacentral:rRNA from 1 species
GACAGCAGCCGCCGCGGGAAUACGUAGGGUGCAAGCGUUAAUCGGAAUUACUGGGCGUAAAGCGUGCGCAGGCGGUUAUAUAAGACAGAUGUGAAAUCCCCGGGCUCAACCUGGGAACUGCAUUUGUGACUGUAUAGCUAGAGUACGGCAGAGGGGGAUGGAAUUCCGCGUGUAGCAGUGAAAUGCGUAGAUAUGCGGAGGAACACCGAUGGCGAAGGCAAUCCCCUGGGCCUGUACUGACGCUCAUGCACGAAAGCGUGGGGAGCAAACAGGAUUAGAUACCCCCGUAGUCCCUGUCUCUUAUAC